GAUGAACGCUGGCGGCGUGCCUAAUACAUGCAAGUCGAGCGAACAGACGAGGAGCUUGCUCCUCUGACGUUAGCGGCGGACGGGUGAGUAACACGUGGAUAACCUACCUAUAAGACUGGGAUAACUUCGGGAAACCGGAGCUAAUACCGGAUAAUAUAUUGAACCGCAUGGUUCAAUAGUGAAGGACGGUUUUGCUGUCACUUAUAGAUGGAUCCGCGCCGCAUUAGCUAGUUGGUAAGGUAACGGCUUACCAAGGCGACGAUGCGUAGCCGACCUGAGAGGGUGAUCGGCCACACUGGAACUGAGACACGGUCCAGACUCCUACGGGAGGCAGCAGUAGGGAAUCUUCCGCAAUGGGCGAAAGCCUGACGGAGCAACGCCGCGUGAGUGAUGAAGGUCUUCGGAUCGUAAAACUCUGUUAUUAGGGAAGAACAAAUGUGUGAGUAACUAUGCACGUCUUGACGGUACCUAAUCAGAAAGCCACGGCUAACUACGUG
rnacentral:rRNA from 1 species